CCUAACAUUUAAGCUCAUCGUGUACUUCCUUUGCCCAUAACUUAAAUUUUUAUUUCUUAUAUUUAGAUUGAGGAAGCAUCGUACAACAGCAGUGCGAGUACACAAUUAGCUGUAGCUGCAGAAGAAGAUGUGCACCAGGAGGAUUUAGCCGCGAGACAUGAAGCACAAGAUAGAGAAUUUGAAGAGAUGCAAAGAAGAGCCAACAAGAGAAGAAUAAGCCUGGCAAAAGAAGCAACAUGAGAUGGAUAACCUGAUUGGAUUUCUUUUAAGGGCUCAAGCAACUCAGCAAGCAAAUCAGUCCAACCUGAUGGUGCAUGAAGGCCAUCAUUUUGUGAAAGAAAGAUAGUUAUUUAAUCAUACAUUGCAGUCAUCAGGACAACAUAAGUGGUCUUUUAGUUAUGUAAAUAUUACUUUUCGUCUUAUUUAUUCUCGUGUCAAACUUGAGUCUGUGAUAUUUUUUUUGUCAUUUUGUAUUUAGAAGAUGAUUUGGCUGACAGAUGGAAUAAAUAAUACUAUGAUUUGUCUUUAAUUCCAACUUAUAAUGCAA